rnacentral:rRNA from 1 species
GAUGAACGCUAGCGGCAGGCUUAAUACAUGCAAGUCGAGGGGCAGCACAGAUAGCAAUAUUGGGUGGCGACCGGCAAACGGGUGCGGAACACGUACACAACCUUCCUUUUAGUGUGGGAUAGCACAGAGAAAUUUGGAUUAAUACCACAUAGUAUAUUGUAGUGGCAUCACUUUGAUCUUAAAGAUUUAUCGCUAAAAGAUGGGUGUGCGUAUGAUUAGGUAGUUGGUGGAGGUAACGGCUCACCAAGCCUUCGAGCAUUAACUGGUGUGAGAGCACAACCAGGAACACGGGCACUGAGACACGGGCCCGACUCCUACGGGGGGCAGCAGUAAGGAAUAUUGGUCAAUGGACGGAAGUCUGAACCAGCCAUUCCGCGUGAAGGAUGACGGCCCUCUGGGUUGUAAACCUCUUUUAUGUGGGACGAAAAAGGGCCAUUUUUGGUCAACUGACGGUACCAUAGGAAUAAGCACCGGCUAACUCCGUGCCAGCCGCCGCCGUAA